rnacentral:ncRNA from 2 species
CGUCGCAUGAUUUUGCAUGGUUCCCUGGUCGUGAGACGACCGGGGAUGAAAAGGGAAUGUGGAAGGACGGACCCAAGCCGGGCGUCCCCAUCACAGCCGACCCCGCGACUGUAGAACGGUCAGGGGCAUUCGUCGGGUGUCGACCCGUCUUUCCUGAUGGCGCUGCAUGGUGCAGGCCCGGGAAAGUCAGGGAAGCCAUCGGAAAAGCCACUGGCAUGGCAAUGUGAUCAACCGGGGUUGGACGCCUCUCAAGUCUACGAAUCGUCCGCCUUUUCAUGAUUGCCGCCGGGAAGGCGAGAAUGCCCCGCCGGCGCUGCUUCGAGCGCCUGAGACCGCGAGCCAGGAGACCUGCCGUGCUGCCGGGCAUCAU